GACGAACGCUGGCGGCGCGCCUAACACAUGCAAGUCGAACGAGCGAGAGAGAGCUUGCUUUCUCAAGCGAGUGGCGAACGGGUGAGUAACGCGUGAGGAACCUGCCUCAAAGAGGGGGACAACAGUUGGAAACGACUGCUAAUACCGCAUGAUACAUUUGGGUGGCAUCAUCUGAAUGUCAAAGAUUUAUCGCUGAAAGAUGGCCUCGCGUCUGAUUAGCUGGUUGGUGAGGUAACGGCCCACCAAGGCGACGAUCAGUAGCCGGACUGAGAGGUUGACCGGCCACAUUGGGACUGAGAUACGGCCCAGACUCCUACGGGAGGCAGCAGUGGGGAAUAUUGGGCAAUGGGCGCAAGCCUGACCCAGCAACGCCGCGUGAAGGAAGAAGGCUUUCGGGUUGUAAACUUCUUUAAGUGGGAAGAGCAGAAGACGGUACCACUUGAAUAAGCCACGGCUAACUACGUG
rnacentral:rRNA from 1 species